rnacentral:rRNA from 1 species
AACGUAGGAGGCAAGCGUUAUCCGGAGUUACUGGGCGUAAAGAGCGUGUAGGCGGGCUGGCAAGUCUGGUGUGAAAGCUCCCGGCUAAACUGGGAGAGUGCAUUGGAGACUGCCAAUCUAGAGGCUGUCAGAGGGUCGUGGAAUUCCUGGUGUAGCGGUGAAAUGCGCAGAUAUCAGGAGGAACACCGGUGGCGAAGGCGGGUCUCUGGGCAACAACUGACGCUGAGGAGCGAAAGCGUGGGGAGCGAACAGG